rnacentral:rRNA from 1 species
CGCGUAGGCGGACUUUCAAGUCGGGUGUGAAAACUGACGGCUCAACCGGCAGCCUGCACUCGAUACUGUUGGUCUUGAGUACAGGAGAGGAAAGCGGAAUUCCAGGUGUAGCGGUGAAAUGCGUAGAUAUCUGGAAGAACACCAGUAGCGAAGGCGGCUUUCUGGACUGAUACUGACGCUAAAGCGCGAAGGCUUGGGGAGCAAACA